GUCCUGGCAAGACAUAGCCUUACAUAUUACACGCGACAAUAUAUGGCGCAGUGACUUAUGGGGCUGGCACAAAUUUUUUUUCCAGGGCUGCUUUGUAUGCCCAGUCCGGCCCUGCCGAAGGGGGGGUUGGGGGAGAACUAUAGUGCCAGGAAAACAAAGCCGUUUUCCUAUCGAAUCCCUUUAAGGCAAAAUAAAAUCUCUAAUGAGACUGAGAUGGGUAUUUUUCUAAACCCUUAAUAACCCUUAAAGGGAAACUAUGAUGUCAGGAUAACAAACUCAUUUUCCUUCCACUAUAGCUUCCCCCUUUGUCAAGCCCACCCCAUGAUGCAGAAAGGGUUUAUAACCCCUUCUGUCACUUACCUGGCACCAGCACAGGUGUCUUUCGGUGCUGGCUCAUCUCUGCCCAAGCUCCUCCCCUGCCGACGUCCGCCGGCGGUAGAGAUCUAAUGUGAAUGCGCAGCAAUGCCUGUGCUCGCGUUAGGAUCACCCCAUUGGGAAACAUUAUUCAAUGCUUUCCUAUGGGGAUUCCGGCGAUGCUGGAAAUCCUCAUGCAUUGCACAAGGACGUCCAGCGUCGUUUAGACAACAAAGUCGUCUAUUCACCCGGAAGUCCCUCUAGUGGCUGUCUGGUAGAGGAGGAGUUGACCUUAGCAGAUAAUUAUUACAGUUUAUAAAGCUGCAAUAAUUACAUGUUUAGGGUUAAGGGUGAUGGGAGUUUCCACCCAGACCACUUCAAUGAGCUGAAGUGGUGUGGGUGCCUACAUUGUCCCUUUAAUAGUGAACACAUGGGAUGGGUGGCAGCAUUGGAACAUAGCUGUGUGAUACAAAAGUGAAUACAAAUACAAAAAACAAGUACUUACAGCCAAUGGCCAUUUUAGUUACUAAAUAACCUUCAUUUAUUUAAAUAUACUCAGGGAUUUGAGAUAGAGCACAGGCAACCUUUUCUUCUUUGUUUUUUAUUGUAAGUAUUGGGGAUGAUGUGUACUAUAGUCAUUGCUGCCCAGGAGUAGUGGGAGUCUAAGUGUAGGACUUAUUUCUGUGUAUUUGUAUUUACUUUGUAUCACACAGCAAUUUUACAAUGCUACUGCCCAUCCCAUGUGUUCCCUAUUAAGGGUUAAUAAGUAUAUAGGGGUGUAUAUAGAAAAUACCCCUCUCCGUCUCAUUAGAGAUAUCAAGGAAGCACAGUGAAUGUCACCUACAAGGUUUGCCAUGACGCGACAGGUGAGUUUACACCUAAUGGCCACUGGAGUAACUAAAAACGGCCAGUUAUUUAAAUAUGCUCAGGGAUUUGGGGUAGUGUGCAGGCAACUCUUUUUUUUUUUUUUUUGGUUAAUUCUCAAAGUUUUGGAAUCUUGUGUCUAAGCCAAAAACAAGCGUUUAUGAGAUCACUGAGAGUGGUCAUCGUCUUAAACAGCCUUCAGUGGCCCAAAGAGGCCGACACCAAUCUCUCAUGCAGAGAAAACCUGCUGGCAUUUCAGAUCUGAACCUACCUGGAGAUGGCCAUGUGAGCUCAAACCUGUUUGAGACCUGAGUGGGCAGAAGGACAAGCUAUUUCAGCUGUUGUCCGUUCUCAGUAUACUCUCGUAAACUCUUGGUUUUGGCUAAUUUUAGGCAAAACGCAGUAAAAAUGGAAAUCGUCACUAAACAGUGAGUUCUGCUGCAUUGACAGAAGACUGGCACGUUUUAAGGUUUUAGUGCAGCUUUGAAUAAAAUAUUAAAAUAAAAUUUCCACUUUUAUUUGUGUAGAAAUGUGAGUGUUUCCAAUCCUGAGAUUUCUAAUGUUGCUUGCUAGGUUUUUACAUGUAUCUCAGAUCACUGCUUAGUGAAUACAACCUCCCAUACUGUUCUAUACCUCAUACUCCUCCCAUCAUUGACACAGAGUGAAAGUGAAAGUAACUUGUGCGAGAAACGAGGGAAAGAAAGAGCGCGAAGACCUGAAUUUAAACAAUCAAAUCACCGUUCAAAAUGUAGUGAAUUCUGUGACGGCUCCAUUAAAGGUAAAUCCCCGACUGGGUUUAAUCUGCUCUUAGCAGUGCUAGCAGAGACAAGCUUAAAGGGACACUAUAGUCACCAGAACAACUACAGCUUAACUCCUGUUAGUGGAUAGCUCUUCCACAAAUCGUCUGAGGGGAACUUCUUUCUAUUGUUAAUACAAUCAGUGAUGUCUGAGAACGAACUGAGAUCCUCCAGGGAAACCCAUAUUUCCAAAAUGUGCGCUGCCGUUCAUUGGGAAACGGGGGAGACUGUGAAAGCUUUGAGGAAUAUGUUGAGGUUUCUAAAAUUUUGAAUAACGAUCUCUGUCCUACUGUCUCUCUCUGUCUUUAGCUGUAUCUCUCCCCACCCUCCAUUUCUUCCUGUCUCUUUUUGUAUCUCUUCCCCUCUCUCUCCAUCUCCCCGUCUCUAUUACCUCUUCUUUCACAUACUCCCCCUGUUUCUCUGUCUCUUUCCCUGCCCCCCUCCCUAUGUCUCUCUAUCUCUUCUACAUGUCUUUUUCUCCUCCUCUCUCUCUCUCAGGCUGGCAGAGGGGUACAGAGAAAAAUAUCCUAUCACACUUCUGGCUAAGUUCUUGACCCCUAGAUCAGCACCAAAAUGUUUCCUUGCCCAUAGUUUUAGUGGAUUCCAAAUGGUGGUAAAAGACACAUUAUAUCCAGAAGGCACGGGGAGAUUGCAAACAAUAAAUGUCUACUGUAGCAGCAGAUCUUAACACUCACAGCAGAGACUGCUGUCGACAAAACGGAACGGAGUCUAAUGAAUGUGUUUUGUAAAUCUGAUGUUGUUGCAUAUUAUCCCGCAUUGGCAGAACGAGUCACCAUGUAUAUGUGUCAUUUGGGUCCCUGUCAAACAACCUCUGAUUUACUUUGUGAUUGUGUGUUUUGUUUUUUAUAAUGAGAGGAAUUCAUUGGUUUUCCGAUGUGAUGCAUGCAGUGUGUUAUAUGAUAUUAUUAUUGUUAUAAUUAUUAUUAUUUAUAUAGCGCCAUCAGAUUCCAUAGCGCUGUACAAUGGGAUGUACAUCUCAGGCAGUGUGGAGUAGGGUUCCAUAAACACCAAUAAUUCGAUAUUACACAUUGAAACCCCUCUGCUAACCACCUCUCCCCCCCCUCAGUUAGAACUCCAAGCCAGCUGAUAUAAUCCAGGGAUGUGGACCUCCCUCUACCUGUCCUGUACAUAUUUUGAAUAAACUUUUACAAUUAUUUUUUCAAAAUGUUAAAAUAUGAAAAAAAACUAUUAAAAAAAUAUGAAAACAAAAUACUGCA
rnacentral:lncRNA from 1 species